GCGACAGUAGGUCAGAGAGUAGAGCCCUCGCCCUGUAAACGAGAGACCCGGGUUCGACUCCCGGCUGCUCCG
rnacentral:tRNA from 1 species